AAGGCUAUGAUGCUCUGUCUAGCGUCAGAAAGAAGAAACGUUUAAAAGAAACAUAAUAAAACUUAAAAGUUUAAAGCAAUGUUCGCUCUAGCUCGUUAUCAGUUAACACUUAAUUGAAAGAUCCAACAAACAAAGGCAAAUAAUUUGAUACUCACGUAAUAUUCUCCCCUCCAAAUUUAUAUCUCGUCUUCACCAAAAAAAGCCACCACCCGCAGCACCACACAAAACAACAGACGAAAUCCCCAAGGUGAUAAUGGACGUCAGUCCAAUUGGCAAUUUCUACAGUGAGGAGAAGGAAGAGCUCUUGACAUUCGUUUAUGUGCCUUGUCUAUGGCAUCUGUUAGUGAUUCCAGACGUUUAAGCACCCGGACAACAGCACUUGGGCUUGGACAGUGGAUUGCGCUGAAAGGAAAAAUACGUGUUGGCAACAGCAAAUGUUAAGUCAAACAAAAAUGAUUGUCAAGUUUAAAAACCUUUCCACACUAACCAUGUCUCGCAACAACAGCUUGUUCCUGGCUCAUUUGAUCCUCACUCUAGAUACUGGCCAUCUAAUUAAAUAGGUCCAAUUAAAUAAGACUUCACCCAAAACAAAAAGGGAAUUAUCUUACUAGAAAACUUGGUGCAGAAGUAGGGCCUAGUUGAUUGAUAAUUCUGGAUAUGUGAGAUGAGGGUUUUGAUGGUUGUAUGUUGUAUGAUGUUCAAGCUGUUAAUGUAGAUGCUGCCCAAUGAGGAGAUGGUGAUAACUGUGCUUAAAGCUGCUACUGUCCUUGGUGGAAUAUAUUAAUGUGUUGUUCAUCUGUCAUGUCAUAUCCAUGCAACAUAUUAUAAGGAUAACGAAACGUAAGUAUGAACAAUAAAUAGAAGAUUCUCAAUG